rnacentral:rRNA from 1 species
ACGCCGGCAUCGACGAGGAAUGCUACCUGGUUGAUCCUGCCAGUAGUCAUAUGCUUGUCU